GAAUUCAUCUGGUUCGUUGCAAGGUCGUUUGGACCUCCACCACCAUCAUUCUCAUGUUGCUGCUGCUUUUCUGAUGCGACCUGAUAAGAGAAUAUGAUUUCAAUGUACAUAAAUACCACCAGAGGAGGCACCAAAGUGUGUAACAUCUUAACGACCUUGCAACUAGCCAGAUGAGUUGGCCCCAACUUACAACAGAAGGCGCUCACUGGACUUUAUUAACCGGAUUCGGGUAUAGUAAGUCUUAGCAUUUUAUGA